rnacentral:rRNA from 1 species
UACGGAGGGUGCAAGCGUUAAUCGGAAUUACUGGGCGUAAAGCGCACGUAGGUGGUUUUCUAAGUCAGCUGUGAAAUCCCCGGGCUCAACCUGGGACUUGCAGUUGAAACUGGAAAGCUAGAGUAGGGUAGAGGGGGUGUGGAAUUCCAGGUGUAGCGGUGAAAUGCGUAGAUAUCUGGAGGAACAUCAGUGGCGAAGGCGACACCCUGGACUCAUACUGACACUGAGGUGCGAAAGCGUGGGGAGCAAACAGG